rnacentral:rRNA from 1 species
UACGUAGGGGGCUAGCGUUGUCCGGAAUCAUUGGGCGUAAGAGCGUGUAGGCGGUCUGUCGCGUCGGCUGUGAAACUCGGGGCUCAACUCCGAGCUUGCAGUCGAUACGGGCAGGCUAGAGUUCGGCAGGGGAGACUGGAAUUCCUGGUGUGCGGUGAAAUGCGCAGAUAUCAGGAAGAACACCCGUGGCGAAGGCGGCUCUCUGGGACGGUACUGACGCUGAGACGCGAAAGCGUGGGGAGCGAACAGG